rnacentral:ncRNA from 1 species
ACUGUCCUUCUCUUGGGGUUGUGCUACUGCCCAAUCAACAGUUAGCAGUGAGGGCCCUGCUCGUUCCUGUCAACACCUUGCAUCAGCCUGAGCUUUGCUUUUUCUUGGUGCGAUUUCUUUGAGC